AUUCCACAUGACAACCUAUUUUGGCGCUCCCUCCAUUUCCGUGACACGCACACAGUUAGAAAUCUCUCUCUACAUUCUCUCUCACUCUGCAAUGUAGGUCGCCGGAGAAUGGCACAGUGUCACCGCAACCACGCCGCAUCCAAAACCACCACCCACUUCCGCCUCUGGAAUUCCCUCUCCGCCUCCUCCUUCCGCCGCAUCAUCUUCGACGCCGUCAGUUGCGGCGGAAGCUCCCGCCACCGCCACAACGGCGACGACCUCAGCACCGCCGCAUCAACAGAGAGCUCAACCUCCGCUAAGCAACAACGGUUGGAGGAAGAUGAGAGACCGACGGAGAAGCUAUCCGAUCUCCUUAACAUAGCGGAGCGCGAAACCGAGGCUGAUGCGAAGAAGAAGGAAGAGACAUUGUCGGAGCUGAAGCAGGUAGUGAAGGAGCUGCGCGGAGAGGAUCUGACGACGCGGCAAAUCGCGGCGGCGAGAGUGAGGUUUCUGGCGAAGGAAGAUUCCGAAGUGAGAGGAUCCCUCGCAAUGCUCGGAGCAAUUCAACCACUCGUUGGAAUGCUUGAUUUGGAAGAAGACACUCAUUCUCAGAUCGCUUCUCUCUAUGCGUUGCUCAAUCUCGGGAUCGGAAACGAUGCAAACAAAGCAGCGAUUGUCAAAGUUGGCGCUGUACACAAGAUGCUGAAGCUCAUUGAAUCGAGGGAAGGUCCAGAUUCAUCGGUGUGUGAAGCCAUUGUUGCGAAUUUUCUUGGAUUGAGUGCUUUGGAUUCGAAUAAACCGAUAAUUGGAUCCUCUGGUGCAAUACCUUUCCUAGUUAGAACCCUUCAAAAUCUGUAUGAUGAAAAAAGUAGCAGUAGCAGCUCCCAUGUUAAGCAAGAUGCUCUCAGAGCUUUGUUCAACCUAACAAUCUUUCAGGCCAACGUUUCGUUUGUUUUGGAAACUGAUCUCGUCGCGUUUCUGGUGAAUGCGAUAGGGGAUAUGGAAGUGAGUGAGAGAGUGCUAUCGAUUCUGGGCAAUUUGGUGUCGAGUCCUGAGGGUAGAAAGUGUAUCAGUGCUGUGAGGGAUGCAAUCCCAGUUCUGGUGGAUGUGUUGCACUGGGUAGAUUCACCAGGGUGUCAAGAGAAGGCGUCAUACAUUUUGAUGAUCAUGGCUCAUAAAGCUUAUGGUGACAGGCAAACCAUGAUUGAGGCUGGGAUCGCGUCGUCGCUGCUUGAGUUGACGCUUCUGGGUACCCCACUGGCACAGAAAAGGGCUUCAAGGAUAUUGGGUUGUUUGAGGAUAGACAAAGGGAAACAGGUUUCUGGUGCAAAUGUCUCCGCACCUAUUUGUGCCUCUUCGUCGUCUUUCAAUGGAGGCGGUAAAGAGGAGUGUUUGGUGGAGGAGGAAGAUGGGGCGACGGGGAUGAGCGAGGAAAAGAAAGCGGUGAAUCAAUUAGUCCAGCAGAGUUUGCAGAACAACAUGAUGAAAAUUGUGAAGAGGGCUAACUUGCGUCAAGAUUUCGUUCCAUCCCAGCAUUUCGCUGCACUCACUUCAACCUCCACUUCAAAGAGCCUGCCAUUUUGAACAAUUGCUUGCAGCUGAUUUAAUGAUGGAAAGGGUAUCGGACUUUUUCAUCUUCCAUGUAACAGCGACUACUCAAGCCUUGGAUCUAAUGCUUAUACUACAUUUUGGAUCUGUGUUGAAUGGAAACAUGACCUGUUCGUGGUGAAUAGCAUUUUCUCCGCACUACGUGACAUGAUGUUCGUUGUGGGUCUACAGCCAUAUGUAAUGUUAUCUACUUCUACUUCUGACUUCUGAGUGCUUUUAAUUCUGUUGACUUUUUGGUUAAAUAUUCUGAACGUUACUAUAUAGUUUUGGAUAUUAAAAUUGAUUAGGUAGCCCUUUUAGUCAUGGAUAGGGUCAGUUUUCAUUUA